CGUACGGCUCAGUAACACGUAGUCAACCUGCCCUGGAGACAUGGACAACCCCGGGAAACUGGGAUUAAUCCGUGAUAGGUCAUCCCAUCUGGAAGGAGGGAUGGCUUAAAGGGGUGCGCGGGCUUCUUCUGCGUAUUCGCUCCAGGAUGGGACUGCGUCCGAUCAGGCUGUUGGCGGGGUAAUGGCCCACCAAACCUGUAACCGGUACGGGCCUUGAGAGAGGUGGCCCGGAGAUGGACACUGAGAGAAGGGUCCAGGUCCUACGGGGCGCAGCAGGCGCGAAACCUUCGCAAUGCGCGAAAGCGUGACGAGGUUAAUCCGAGUGGUCUCCGCUGAGGAGACCUUUUGUCAGCUGUAAAUAGGCGGGCGAAUAAGGGGAGGGCAAGUCUGGUGUCAGCCGCCGCGGUAAUACCAGCUCCUCGAGUGGUCGGGACGAUUAUUGGGCCUAAAGCACCCGUAGCCGGUUCCGUAAGUCCUCUGUUAAAUCCAGUCGCUCAACGGCUGGUCUGCAGAGGAUACUGCAGGACUAGGAGGCGGGAGAGGCGGACGGUACUCCGCGUGUAGGGGUAAAAUCCUUUGAUCCGCGGAAGACCACCAGUGGCGAAGGCGGUCCGCCAGAACGCGCUCGACGGUGAGGGGUGAAAGCUGGGGGAGCGAACC
rnacentral:rRNA from 1 species